UACGGGGGGAUCAAGCGUUGUUCGGAUUUACUGGGCGUAAAGGGCGCGUAGGCGGCCACCGCAAGUCAAUUGUGAAAUCUCCGGGCUCAACCCGGAAAGGUCAACUGAUACUGCGGGGCUAGAGUGCAGAAGGGGCAACUGGAAUUCUCGGUGUAGCGGUGAAAUGCGUAGAUAUCGAGAGGAACACCUGCGGCGAAGGCGGGUUGCUGGGCUGACACUGACGCUGACAGCGCGAAAGCUAGGGGAGCGAACGGG
rnacentral:rRNA from 1 species